UGGGGAAUCUUGCACAAUGGGGGCAACCCCGAUGCAGCGACGCCGCGUGAGCGAUGAAGCACUUCGGGGCGUAAAGCUCUUUCGACCGGAACGAUAAUGACGGUACCGGGAGAAGAAGCUGCGGCUAACUACGUGCCAGCAGCCGCGGUAAUACGUAGGCAGCAAGCGUUGUUCGGAGUUACUGGGCGUAAAGAGUGCGUAGGCGGUUUUCUGAGUUCGGUGUGAAAUCUCCCGGCUUAACUGGGAGGGUGCGCCGAAGACUGGGAAGCUGGAGUGUGGGAAAGGCAGGCGGAAUUCCUGGUGUAGCGGUGAAAUGCGUAGAUAUCAGGAGGAACACCGGCGGUGUAGACGGCUUACUAGACCAUAACUGACGCUGAGGCACGAAAGCGUGGGUAGCAAACA
rnacentral:rRNA from 1 species